rnacentral:lncRNA from 1 species
AUUCAUUCUAAAGUUCCUAUUACUUAGACAUGUUUACUAAACAAGUGAAACUAUGACCCUCACUGAAAAUAAGAUCAAGCUUCGUAGGCCAAUUAUUUUGGACAUCAUCAAGAACAUAUAAAAUAGUUUCACUUCUCAACUUCUUAAAUCACUUUAUUCUCUCCACAUUCACACAUCUAUUCCCCUAAUGGAUUAAGUGUGCUUGUAUUUUCAUCAAGUUCAAUGUUUCUGCCUCAAAAUGGGUAAAGGUCUCUUAAAUGAAAGUUUUCCAAACACAUCCUAAAACCCAUUUGUUGCAUUCUGACAACAAAACAUUCAGUUGUAGCUAAUAGCUAGCGUACAAUGACUAAAAGUGGCAACCUCUAUCAAAUGUGACAGCUACCGAACUAGAUUCAGUACUAAAUAGUAUCCAGUAACUAGUAAUGAAGUUAAAUAACUACCUAAUGGUUUGAGAUCAAUAGAACAAGAAGACCCUCAAACAACUUUUCAAACGAUACGACAGACAGAUAAUGGGUGAUCAUUCAUACCUUUAACUUCCUCAUCAGAACAAAACUUCUUGGCCAACGUUGACUUUCCCGAACCUCCUGUUCCUGUCACUGUCAGCACUGAGCCCACAUGAUGAUCCUUCAGCAACUUGAAUUUCAACUCCCUCAAAUGAACAUCCAACCCAACAGUGAAAGCAGGGGGUUCAGGUGGAGAGCACAAGCCUUUUAAUCCAAUCCUUCUCGGAGCAUUCUCCACAAGCCUCGCAUGAAUCUCGGUCAGCAGCACCUGGUUUUCCAACACAGUGACGUUUAUAUUUCCUUGCAUAUCUAAUUGAAAGUACCGAUAAAUAGAAUCGAUCAACUCUUGAAGUUUCUCUUGGGAAUUCGCCUUAUAACAGAAAUUCCACCGAUCAACUUUGGAGCACUCCUUAACAAGCUCCUUCCCCUUCUUUAUCUGGUCAAUCAGCUUCUUCGUUGCCUUAGGUGGUUUAUCCAAUCGCUUGUUAAUACCAUCUAUCUGCCUAGCCACAGGUUCUACUAUUUGGAGGAUUUCUCGCAAUUUUUCCAGGGUGGAUCUGAACUUCACUGCCCUGUCUUUCAUUUCCACAACAGUCUUCAGCAGUUCAUCAAGCACUUUUCCAAGAACAGCAUCAAGAACCAUAGCCAUGACUACUGCCCACAGAAACUAAUUAACUAAAAACACCCAAAAUCAGAAACUUUGAUCUAACACUGGUAUCUGAGUCAAACAAACUCAAUAUAAAGGUACGGGCAUCAGGAAAAUAGCAAAAAUGUGGUGAAAUAAUACAGAAUGCUAACAAAAAUUCUCCAAAGAUUCUUUUUCUUUUUCUUUUUCUUUCAAAGACUCUGUUACGUUGGAGAAUCUGGUACCAGAUGUCUUUGUUCACACCAAUCAGGGUAUACAGGAAAAGAUGGCUAGAUAGUUUGUUUCUCUGAAAACUGCAAGAUUCUCUUGGAUUUAUAGGAUUUAGUGUUUUUUUUGUUUUGACGAGGCCCUUCACACUAAACCGAGUUUCCCAUCGGCUUCCUUUGCUCUAUAACGUAGAACUUUCCUUCAACAAUGGUUACGAAAAAUUUCUUUGUCUUGACUUUGGGGUCACUGAGACCAACAAUGUAUAACUUCAGCUGGUUGAGGUUCACAUACUACCCAAUGUUCACACUGACACACAGUAGUUAAGACAUUGUCUGAAUAACUGUGAUUGUUAUAAAUAUAAUAAUAAUAAUAAUUAAUUAGAGAAAUUGUAUUUUUUUGUCGUAUAAUUUAAUGGGAACACUGAACACAUUAGUUCCAAACAUAUGCAAAGACUUUUAUGACCCCUCAUGUCGUCGUCAACGUAAAUUAGUUUCAACCCUUAAACUUAAAUGCUAUUAUAUUAUUGGUUUUUUUUUUGUCUCGUAGGAGUGGUCCAAUUUAUUUCGUUUAUUAUGAAAAUGUAUAAAAAAUAAUUUCUUUACAAUUUUGGAAAGAUAAUGUUUUAUUAGCACAUUUUGUUGUGAAGAAGAAGUCAUGUUUAUGACAUAUAAUUUUAGUAUAAAAUGAAAUUUAUAGUAAAGUUGUGUUAUGGCAGAAGCAAAAUAGUUAGGUAUUCAUGCAUGAGUAACACGUAAAAUAAAUUGAGUUUGUGUAUGACUCUAACGACUUAAAUUGUUUUAUUUUACAUUCAAUAGUUUUCUAUUAAUUUCUUCAUAAUCAUAUAUCGCAAAUUGACAUUUUUUGUUUUUUCUAGCUUUUGAUAUUCUUUUUGUUUUGUUUGUUACUUCUUUUAGGUUUUAUGUUUAUUUUUGUUUACUUUAAAUACGUGAUUAGUCUAGUAAUUUGGUGAUGUUUGUCUGUGUCUUUUUUACUUAUGGGUCACCUUUCAUUUUCUAUAGAUUUCGUUGAUAAUUGGAUUGAAAUUUUUUCUCUCAUAGCACAUGAAUAAAAAGGGAAAUUCUUUUUUAAAAAAUGCAAGUUGGACCAUCAUUUGGUUGGCUCUGCACGUUCACGUACCAUUUGCACCUUCCAUGCAAUUAUAACACCAUUUGCACCUUCCAUGCAUUUAUAUAACACUGCUUUAUGUAACAUUUUUCUUGCAUGUGGGACCACUUUCUUUUUCUUGUCCUUUUGUUUGUUAUAUUUUUUAUAUUUCGCUUGCACAACUUUAAUGUAAAAUAAAAUAAAUGAAGUUGUUAAAGUUAUGCACAAUUUUAGUUGAUUUAUUUUAAGCUAGAUAUUAUGCUUUAAAAUCUUGUGCGCAUCUUGAACGUUUAGUACUUCUAAAAAUAAUUCAAAAUUAAUUUUAAUACGUAUUAAUCAAAUUAUCAACAUCAAUUAGAUUUAAGAUUAAAAACAUUAUUUGAAAACCUUCUUUUUCAGAAAGCUAUUGGUAACAUUAUUACAAAAAAAAAAUUCUAUCUCAAUACAAGUUUCAAACGUUGAAGUAUAUCAAACAUUUCCUAAGAUUAACUUUAACAAAAACAAAAUCCUAAUUCGAAUAAUUUCUGGAAAAAAAUCUUUCUCUAGUAAAAAACUUCUUGCAUUUUUUAAAACCUUCCGUCUUUGUAUGAAUUCAAAAUGUUCAUGCAUAACAAAGUAUUACAUGACAUUAUUUUUUUAUUUAAACAAAAUUAGAAAAGUAAAUAACUAUUGUUUUUGAAAAAUUAUUCACAGUCAAAUUACAAAAACCUUUUAGAAUGAGUUAAUCAAUACAUUGAUGUAGUUCUUUGAAUAAUGAGUUUUGCAAAUGAUUAAUAAUUAAUUAGAAACAUAAUUAAAUUAUAAUUAUUAAGUUUAGAAGAAUCUUGAAUGGUUAGAUCGUUUAUCGUGAAAGCAAAAACUAGACAGUCUAACACGAAAACGAAGACUAAAUCAUUUUGCACUUUGUGUUUGAGACUGUCUUGCAUGUUAAACUCUAGUGAGACAGUUUAAUGAGUUUAACCUAUUGAGACCUUCUAACAUGUUCAACUAUGUGAGACCAUGUAGAACAUUAUAGUAUUUUGAGACCAUGUAACAUAUUUAACAAUGUGAGACCGUCUAACAGGUAAAUAUUGUAACUUGUCUAACAAUUAUGCUUUGACAUUUGCACAAUAAGAAGUUUUGUUAUAUCCUUAAUACACCUUAUAGUGUUUGUUAUCAUCAAAACCUCAUAGAUUCUAUUAUCAUAAGACCGUUUAGUGGGGUAUUAGACUAUCGAACAGUGACUAUACCAUCUAAUGUAUUAACAUUUGACCUUUGUGUGGUGCGACACCAAGAUAAGUGUCACACAUUUCCUCUCAAUCAAACAUUAUGCAACCAACAAGCGGUGGUCCAUCUACUUAGACCUAAUUGAAGUGAAUUAUCCUAUAAUGUAAUGGUACACUCGCCAGUUGGAAUGUGGAAUGUGCGAGUUUCAGGUCUCCACCUCUCAACCAAAAAUGUUACUAAGACAUUAUCCACUUUUAAAUGUCUUAAUUUUGCAAUUUCAUUGGAAUUGUUAAAAGGUGUCAUUGAAUGACAAUAAGACUCCACAACAUCAUGUUUGAGAUUCUGCAAAAUUGAAGAAACUAAUAUACCAUGAAAAUAUUACCAUAAAAACUACACUUUGGAGAACAAAAAAUGUGAUGAACUUGUCAUAGUAGCAAUGUAUACAAACCUAUGUUUUUGGUUGAUUCCACAACAACAUAUUGAUGGAGCAAAAUUUACUUUGCAAUGGAGAAAAGGUUAGAAAAGUAGUUACAAGCAGUGUCUUUUGGAAUACCGUAAAUGAUAAAAUUUGUGAAGUUGUAUUUAUAGAUGGUCUCGAUUGAAUUUAGAGCAUUAAUUGGGGUAGAUUCAAUCUAAGACAUUAUAUUUGGCUUGACACUCUACUUAAGAAUACGUGUCAUGUUCAGGAAAUAAUGUGGAUGAAUAGUGCCUCGUGCUUUGUGUGUAUUCAUUUUGGAGUGUUGAUGAGGACAAAUUCAAUUUAGGACAUUGCUUUUGGGUUGACACUUUGCUCAAAAAUCUUUGUCAUGUUUAGGCAAUAAUGUGGGUGAACAUUGUCUCGUGCUUUAUAUGAGUUCAUUCUAGAGUGUUGAUGGGAAAUGAAUUUGGGACGUUGGUUUAAGGUUGACAAGAAGAAUGGGUUUUUGACUAUGAUGGAGUUAUUUUUUUUGUUUUUUACCAAAAUGGGAUCCGUUUAAAAAAAAUACAAAUUUAGGCUAGUCGUACCAAUUCGGCACGACUUCAUAUGCACAAAUCGUUCCAAUUAGACAUGACUUCUGCCCUAUCAUACUAAAGUCGUGCCAAGUUGGCACGACUUCUGCCUUGUCAUACUGAAGUCGUGCCAACUUGACACUACUUUUGCCACGUCAUAAAUUUUUUUAUCUAUGUAUUUAUUCAUUCAUAACACCCUUAGAACAUUCAUUUUCUUUAUCUAUGUAUUUAUUCAUUCAUAACACUCUUAGAACAUUCAUUUUCUUUAUCUAUGUAUUUAUUCAUUCAAUUCAAACAUGAUCCAUACACGAUUAUUCAAUUUUUUGUUGCUUAAAACUAACACUCUUAGAAAAUUAUGUAUCAAAUUAAUUUUUAACAUUACAUAACUUACUACCCAAUAUAUAAACAAUAAAAUUAAAAAAAAUUAUAACGUGACAGGAGUCGUGCCAAGUUGGCACAACUUCAGUAUGACAUGGCAGAGUCGUAUCUAAUUGGGACGAUUUGUGCAUAUGGAGUCGUGCUGAAUUGGCACGACUUGCCUAAAUUUGUAAUUUUUUUUAAACGGACCCCACCUAAAUUUGUAAUUUUUUUUAAACGGACCCCAUUUUGGUAAGAAGCAAAAAAAAUAACACCAUGAUGGUAAAAAACCCCAAAAAGAAUCUUUGUCAUGCUCACGCAUUAAUGUGGGUAAACAGUGUUUUAUACUUUACUAGUAGAUUCAUUCUAAAGCAUUGAUGACUUGAUGGAGAAACAUUCAAUACAGAACGUUGAUUUAUGGGUUAACACUUACUUAAUAAUCUCUAUCAUGCUCUAUCAUGUUGAGCCAAUAAUGUGGGAAACAAUUCCUCAUACUUUGUGUGGCUUAAUUUUCCUUCAUCCUGAAAAGUAAUGGGUCAUACACAUUACUUCCUAAUGAAUAGCUUACUUCUGUAAUCCCCAAUCCUCAUCACUCCCUCAUUCCCCUCCACGGAAUGUUCAAGCAAUGGACUCCAAAAAUGUAGAGAAAAAAACAGCACAAGCUCGUAAUAAUUUUGAAAAGGACACAGGUUUGGUUCUCAGAAUAUAAUAUACAUUGCCUCCAAAUAACGCGAGCUACUUGAUUGUGUUGCCAAAACCAAGUGCCAGAAUGCAAAUUAAAGAAGAGAAACUGGGUUGAAAUCAUUUGUGACUUCUUCUACCUUUAGAUUACUAUUAAUGUGUCUAAAAGGUUCCCAUAAUGCAGCCCUCUCUUCAUCGCAUACUACCACACUUAAGCUCUCAAGGUCAUUCACUGAGUAUGGCAGUUCAUACAAUCUGGUGCAACCUCUGCAAUUGAACCUUUCUAAACUACGCAACUUCCCAAUGUUCUCUGGUAAGUUACCAAGGCUUACACAGUCAGAGAUGUCAAGAAAUUUCAGUUUAUGAAGGCUUGUGAUGCUGUCUGGCAACUCUUCUAAUUCAGUACAAGAAGUAAGCCUCAGUGAUUCCAAAUUCACCAACUUUCCAAUUCCUAUAGGAAGUUUAGAAAGCUUAUGGCAGUUUGUGAUGCUUAGCUUCUUUAGGGAAACAAUAUCAGAGAGUCCAUCUGGCAAUUCCUCCAUAUCACAGUAAUCAAUGUUCAUUUCCUUCAGAUUUGGCAGCACAUCAGAAACUUUGAUGGUCCUAAUUUUGAAGGCUUCAUUCACAUUGCACAUAAAGAAAGAGNNNNNNNNNNNNNNNNNNNNNNNNNNNNNNNNNNNNNNNNNNNNNNNNNNNNNNNNNNNNNNNNNNNNNNNNNNNNNNNNNNNNNNNNNNNNNNNNNNNNCUAACCUGAUUCGUUUGAGAUCAGAAAGAUAAUCAAGCCGCUCUAAAUUCUCCAACUCAGCACGAUUGACGUCAUAAUUCGUUAUUAUCAGGACUUUUAAUUUAUUCAUUUUCUCCAUGAACAUCGGUAGUGAGUGCUUCUUUUCUCUAAGGUUCAUCACUAGAACCUUAACCUCAUUUGGCUGCAAGUUGCACCACUCUGAAGUGAAUUCUUCAUCUGCAAAAUCAGAUUCAAUAUUUAGUGUUUGAGAAGUCUCUCUCAACAUGUGUGCAUGCCAUAAGUGCAUCAAGAUAGAAAUAUGAACAUACCAGUUGAGAUGGAUAAUGUGUGGGCUGCAAUGUGAUACUCAUUCUUUGUAGUCCACCAUUUGGGAAUAUGGUUCCCUCUUAGGUCAAUUAUUAGUCUAUGACUCUUUUCCGUCGGUAACUUACUUGUUUGAAGGAUGGCUAUGUCCCGAAGAAGACCAUGCUGCGUAACAUAGUGGUAAUUGUAGUCACCUAUGCCACUUGCAGAACUCCUGACCAAUGAAUAGAAAUUAAUCGCCUAUGAGUUCAUGCACACAAAACAGCUCAAACAAUAUUCUCUUUAUCUAACAACAGUAAAUUUUCAAGAUAUACUAGGAAUGAUUUUAAAUGGUUUAAGGCAUGGAUGUUCUCCACUGAGAAGCAGUAAUUCGCCAUACCUUGUGACAACCAUAUCAGCCACGUUCCUUUUGACAAGUUCAUGUAUAUUCUCCAUUGCAGUGUCAUCGUCUUCAUCACGCUGUUCUGCCCAUAUAUCAACAAGUGCUGCAGCGGGUAUCUUCUGUGCUUCAGGAAACAAGCUCAGGUCCGUAAAACUCUCAGCCACCUUAGCAUCCAAAUCAUCAAAGCUUUUUUGGAGGCAAGUAAAAAGCACAUCCUGACUAGAACUGUAAGUAAGAACAGAAUGACCCUUCGACAAUGUCUUCGCCCUGUUGUGCCAAACCACUGGUGCUUCAAGACUUAAAGAUUUUCCAGUCACCAAAAGAGCCAAGGGAGAACCCCUGCACCCUUUUGCUAUCUGCAAUUUAUUUGGUGUUCAGUGAAACCAGAAAUUGCUACUAAAACAUUUAGCAUUGUUUUAAAAUUAUCAUUACUGGAAGUAUUUUGUAGUUACAGUUUUACACACCGCAUUUGUAAUAGUAUAAUUGAGCAAUAGAGAGUACCUUCUUGACAACAUUAUCGGGAAUGUUAGAGCUAGUCUGAUCCAGGGAUGCAUAGUGGCGAAAUAAGUUUAAAGCAUCGGCUUCAUUAAGUGAUUUCAACACGUAUGGCUCCCCAAAUCCUUUAAUUGUGAAUCUUGAUGUCACUAAAAUCUUGUAGUCUGGGAUCUGAAACACGAAUUUCUCAACUAGAGAUGUUGACUUUGGCAAAACACCGUCAAGGACCAACAACAUGGGGGUUUUCCCAAUCUGUUUUAGCAAAUUUUCCAAUUGAUAAGCUACAUCCUCAUCACUUUGAAACUCUGGCUUCUGGUAACCAUUGUGUUCAAACAGUCUCUCCACUAUGGUGCUUACCUUGGGCGCUUCCGCUAAGGAGAUGAAGAAUAUGUUGUCCAUGAAUUUACCUAAACAAAUUUCAACAUGUUUAGAGUUCCGGAUAUUCAUUCUAAAAUUCCUAUUACUUAGACAUGUUUACUAAACAGGUGAAAAUAUGACCUUCACAGAAAAUAAGAUCAAGCUUCGUAGCCCAAUUAUUUUGGACAUCAUCAAGAACAUAUAAAAUAGUUUCACUUCUCAACUUCUUAAAUCACUUUAUUCUCUCCACAUUCACACAUCUAUUCCCCUAAUGGAUUAAGUGUGCUUGUAUUUUCAACAAGUUCAAUGUUUCUGCCUCAAAAUGGGUAAAGGUCUCUUAAAUGAAAGUUUUCCAAACACAUCCUAAAACCCAUUUGUUGCAUUCUGACAACAAAACAUUCAGUUGUAGCUAAUAGCUAGCGUACAAUGACUAAAAGUGGCAACCUCUAUCAAAUGUGACAGCUACCGAACUAGAUUCAGUACUAAAUAGUAUCCAGUAACUAGUAAUGAAGUUAAAUAACUACCUAAUGGUUUGAGAUCAAUAGAACAAGAAGACCCUCAAACAACUUUUCAAACGAUACGACAGACAGAUAAUGGGUGAUCAUUCAUACCUUUAACUUCCUCAUCAGAACAAAACUUCUUGGCCAACGUUGACUUUCCCGAACCUCCUGUUCCUGUCACUGUCAGCACUGAGCCCACAUGAUGAUCCUUCAGCAACUUGAAUUUCAACUCCCUCAAAUGAACAUCCAACCCAACAGUGAAAGCAGGGGGUUCAGGUGGAGAGCACAAGCCUUUUAAUCCAAUCCUUCUCGGAGCAUUCCCCACAAGCGUCGCAUGAAUCUCGGUCAGCAGCACCUGGUUUUCCAACACAGUGACGUUUAUAUUUCCUUGCAUAUCUAAUUGAAAGUACAGAUAAAUAGAAUCGA